CCAGGCUUUACGUUACUCUGGUUCCCUAAUAAAAGGAACUAGCUCUAAGGAACUAAAAAACUAAAAAACUAAAAAAGAGAAGUAAAAAGGGGUGGCUCAACCUUUGCCAUCCAAACAAACACCAAAGGAUUCAGUUGGUGUUGUAAAACGAGGACUGACUUCUGGAGAUCUGGGUUUUGGCCCUAACUCUGCCACUAAAUUGUUGUGUGACCUUCAGCAAAUCUUCAUCUUUCAAAAUCUGAAUUUUCACCUCUUCAAAAUGAAGAUGUGGAACAAAUGAU
rnacentral:lncRNA from 1 species